AUGAAAUGCAAGGACGCUCUUUUUAGAGGUCCGACCCAAAUCAUUUUCCUUUACACUGUGCACAUACUACUUUUUUACACCAAUUUUUAACACAUCAGUUUUAAGAAUGUAAAUCAAGUCUCGAAAGAGCAAUAAAUAAAACA
rnacentral:misc_RNA from 1 species